rnacentral:lncRNA from 1 species
UUGGAUUGGAUUUAGAGAAUCAGAUCGGAGCGCUGUGGGGGUGACACGUGGCUUCUACCCGUUAGAGAUUGCGUCGCACUAACGUCAACGCGACGUCGCGCAUGACGUCACAACACACUGGCUCGACCUAGGGCUGAACUGGCCUUCGGGCCAGCCAGACUUCGUAGAACCCACUCCCAGCCCGGGCUUGGGCUCACCACUGGAACGACUUC